CCGCUGAGUUAUUGAUUGCAGGCAGCAGCAGUCCCUCAGGUUGAUUUGUGUGGAAAGUGAAUCCUCGCUGGAUAGGCGUUCAGCAGAGGCGCCGCAGCCGCAAAGCCAGCCAAUUAUUGCCGGUCUUCCCCUCCAACCCCGCGCUCACUACCUACACACUCCUUGCUGUGGCAGUCUCCACUUCCCCCCUACCCACGAUCCACCCCCCCUCCCCGCGCGGACGGAGCCGAGGGGGCGGGGAGGGGGGGCUCCCUCCCCGGGAGCGUUUCUAGAGCUCGGAGGCAGCUCGCAGGGGUUUGAGAGUCCACGUGUUUAAGUCUAACAGAAGAAAACAAAAAUCACUGGAUAUGAAGUUUUGAGACAGACCCAAAUCUACAUCUACAUCCUCAGGGCACCACUUUCAGAUAAAAACAUAGACCUGAAUGGCAUCAUCCAGUAUCCAAGGAAACCAUCUGAAUUAUCCCAUGGAUUCGCAAUACAAAAGAACUGUUUUUGAGCCACCUCACAUGGCUAAGGUGGUAUUCUCAAGACAGUGGAGCAUCCAGAGACAUUAGACUCAUCCAUCUUGGAAGACCCCACCCUGCCCCCUUCGCUUUAGCUGCUUGUGGAUUGUGCCUCUGAAUCCUUUCUAGCUUUUCUGGAAUCCCUCAGAUUAAAGCUCAAGAAAAGGCUGGAGAAAGAGGAUUCUCCAGCGCACAGCAGGGACCAUGUUGCUGCUCAGUUCGUGAUUCCACUGAAAAGUUAUGCCUGAGUUCUUACAGUACCCUGGAACAUCAUUCAUCAUAGCCAGGGUGAAUUUGCUGUACACAGGAGUGAUCCUUCUCGUCUGCCAUGUCCAUGGGUGUGUGAGAAAUCUACAUUGGAGCCGAAAGAAUUGUAUCUUCUCAGUCCAUAUUCAGAAGGUCUCUAAGUCCACGAUGACAGGAAAAUCUUCAGUGGUUCCAGAGACAAGCAGCCAGAAAUCCUGCACAUUUAUUUCCUAGAAGGAAGUGAGCUGAUGAGGAGAGUGAUCCCUUCAGAGAGAUCCUCUCUUUUAAAAAUGGACUCCAAGUUAAGCCAUAUCCAUUUCUGGGACCCUGAUGUGGCUCUCAAAAGCGGAUGUCACUUGCUUAAUGUUAAGUGAUUUCAAAAGCCUUAAUCAGGGGAGAGUAAAGGUGGGGAGGAAGAUGGUGAAUAAAUUGU